rnacentral:lncRNA from 1 species
AGGGAAGGAAGCUGAUAAGGACCACAAAGUGACAAGUGCCCUGAAAGCACACAGCUGUAGCACCUGAGAGGAAGGCUCCUAACCCAGCUUGAGAAGCCAGACAAGGAUGCUGGGGCCGAAGGGAAAAGGAAUGAAGUUAUCCAAGACAACAGUGAGUGAGUGGCCACGCUGAGAUUUACCAAGCCAGAACGCUUCCCAACAGCCUGAGGGUCGGCACAACUUCUUGUUUACUAUUAGAAUACUACCACUUACUGAAUAUUUACCUGUUCUAGACAUCUUUUUUUUUUUACAAUUGAUUUUUGUAUGUUGAUCUUGUAUAUUAUAAACUCGCUAAACUCAUGUUUUAUUACAGUUUAGUAUAAUUUUUAUUGUUAUUUUUAUUUUUGAGACAGGGUCUUGUUCUGUUGCCCAGGCUGGAGUGCAGCGGCACGAUCUCAGCUCACUGCAACCUCCACCUCCCGGGUUCAAGCAAUUCUGCCUCAACCUCUCAAGUAGUUGCGAUUACAGGCACGUGUCAUCAUGCCUGGCUGAUUUUUGUAUUUUUAGUAGGGACUGGGUUUCACCAUAUUGCCCAGGCUGGUCUCGAACUCCUGACCCC